UACAGAGGUGGCAAGCGUUGUUCGGAAUUACUGGGCGUAAAGGGCGCGUAGGCGGUGCUGUAAGUCUGUGGUGAAAUCUCUGGGCUCAACUCAGAGUCUGCCAUAGAAACUGCAGUGCUGGAGUGUGGGAGAGGUGAGUGGAAUUCCCGGUGUAGCGGUGAAAUGCGCAGAUAUCAGGAGGAACACCGGUGGCGAAGGCGGCCAACUGGACGAAUACUGACGCUGAGACUCGAAAGCGUGGGGAGCAAACAGG
rnacentral:rRNA from 1 species